rnacentral:rRNA from 1 species
UACGUAGGGGGCUAGCGUUGUCCGGAAUCAUUGGGCGUAAAGCGCGUGUAGGCGGCCCGAUAAGUCCGCUGUGAAAGUCGGGGGGCUCAACCCUCGAAAGCCGGUGGAUACUGUCAGGCUAGAGUACGGAAGAGGCGAGUGGAAUUCCUGGUGUAGCGGUGAAAUGCGCAGAUAUCAGGAGGAACACCCAUUGCGAAGGCAGCUCGCUGGGACGUUACUGACGCUGAGACGCGAAAGCGUGGGGAGCAAACAGG